GGAGUUAGCCGGUGCUUUCUUGGGAGGUACCGUCAGAUCUUCUUUCCUCCCGACAGUGCUUUACGACCCGAAGGCCUUCAUCACACACGCGGCGUGGCUGCGUCAGGCUUUCGCCCAUUGCGCAAUAUUCCCC
rnacentral:rRNA from 1 species